rnacentral:rRNA from 1 species
AGUGAACGCUGGCGGUAGGCCUAACACAUGCAAGUCGAACGGCAGCACAGUAAGAGCUUGCUCUUACGGGUGGCGAGUGGCGGACGGGUGAGGAAUACAUCGGAAUCUACUUUUUCGUGGGGGAUAACGUAGGGAAACUUACGCUAAUACCGCAUACGACCUACGGGUGAAAGCAGGGGAUCUUCGGACCUUGCGCGAUUGAAUGAGCCGAUGUCGGAUUAGCUAGUUGGCGGGGUAAAGGCCCACCCAGGCGACGAUCCGUAGCUGGUCUGAGAGGAUGAUCAGCCACACUGGAACUGAGACAGGGUCCAGACUACUACGGGAGGCAGCAGUGGGGAAUAUUGGACAGUGGGCGCAAGCCUGAUCCAGCCAUACCGCGUGGGUGAAGAAGGCCUUCGGGUUGUAAAGCCCUUUUGUUGGGAAAGAAAAGCAGCAGGUUAAUACCCCGCUGUUCUGACGGUACCCAAAGAAUAAGCACCGGCUAACUUCGUG